rnacentral:lncRNA from 1 species
UUUUUUUUUUUUUAAGACACGAAGUCCUAACCUUAAAUUGCCAGUUGGUCUGCAAUACAGAGACAGCCCGGAGAAUUAACACCCAGUCCUGGAACAAGGCCUGAGGAUGAAAGUAAUGACAACGUGGGAUUCUAAAUAUACCCGAGCAGCUCACAGGUUCUUUGAUUGUGCUGGAGGCUGUGUGAAAUCUGCAGGCAACAGCAUGCCUGCUUGCAGUUUUGCUUCAGGUGAGAAGCUGUUUAGUGCCUUAAGACAAAGUCAGAGACAUGAAGUCCCAAAGGCUAAUUCACUGGAGGAA